rnacentral:rRNA from 1 species
CGCUGGCGGCGUGCCUAAUACAUGCAAGUCGAACGGUCUUUCUAUGGAAGCUUGCUUCCACUGAGAAGAUAGUGGCGAACGGGUGAGUAACACGUGGGUAACCUGCCCAUAAGAGGGGGGAUAACAUCCGGAAACGGGUGCUAAUACCGCAUAGUUUUCUUGAUCGCAUGAUUGAGAAAGGAAAGACGGCCUUUGUGCUGUCGCUUAUGGAUGGACCCGCGGCGUAUUAGUUAGUUGGUGAGGUAACGGCUCACCAAGACGAUGAUACGUAGCCGACCUGAGAGGGUGAUCGGCCACAUUGGGACUGAGACACGGCCCAAACUCCUACGGGAGGCAGCAGUAGGGAAUCUUCCGCAAUGGACGAAAGUCUGACGGAGCAACGCCGCGUGAGUGAAGAAGGUUUUCGGAAUCGUAAAACUCUGUUGUCAGAGAAGAACAAGUUGGAGAGUAACUGCUCCAGCCUUGACGGUAUCUGACCAGAAAGCCACGGCUAACUACGUGCCAGCAGCUGC